UACAGAGGGUGCGAGCGUUAAUCGGAAUUACUGGGCGUAAAGCGCACGUAGGUGGUUGAUUAAGUUAGAUGUGAAAUUCCAGGGCUCAACCUUGGGUGGUCAUCUAAUACUGGUUAGCUAGAGUAUGGUAGAGGAAGGCGGAAUUCUCGGUGUAGCGGUGAAAUGCGUAGAUAUCGGGAGGAACAUCAAUGGCGAAGGCAGCUUUCUGGGCCAAUACUGACACUGAGGAGCGAAAGCGUGGGUAGCGAACAGG
rnacentral:rRNA from 1 species